CUGUUUCAGAUCUACAUCUGGC
rnacentral:miRNA from 1 species